GGCCUACCAUGCUCUAUAUGGGAAACUUUCAUCCUGGAACUUUACACGUACCGGCAUGCUCUGUAUCACGGGCAGGCUGUCAUCAACCAUCUCAUGGUGGAUGGAUGGGCUGUGGUCAUCCUGUCUCACCCGGUGCCUGACACUAGACGCUGACAGUGUGGGACGGCUGCGACCACGCAGAGCAAUGCUCACCCAGAUGCCCGGGUAACGUGCAUUCUCCACUAUGCGCCAGCACAACACCCAUGGCAAUUGUCGCCGCUAGUCAGUCUGUUCACCAGCUACCUGGACAAGCACAGGCAACGGGUUGAGAACAGUAUGCUGGAACAGGGCUUCUUCAUCAAGAACUUGAUUGCUGCUGCUGCUGCUACUACCUACCUUC